CAGCUUUUGGCCUCCACCGCCCCCAACGGGCCGUGGUUGAUCGCCGACGCUUUCGGAUCCUGACCCCUUCCUCCUGUGGACGGAAGAUGCAAACUCGUGACACUUCAAGCGUCUUCUGAUUUGGGUGCAAGAUCAGGUCUGGCUUCCGUUUUCCCACUAGAUAAAUUUUACUAGUAUUUGCAUGAAUUAUCCUUUUUAUUCUCAAAGCUAAUGGCAUCGCCAUUAACACGUGGUCUGUGUUAAUGACGAUUUGGUACCUAGUCCAUCUUGGCAAAGCGGAAGAGCCUUGUGAGGCAAUGUCUUGCUUUGAAUGCUAAUGGACUGAUAUCAACCUUCAUCGUUUCGGUUCUGCACAUGAGUUCUAAUCGUGCUGCAGAUCAGUAAUGAUGAUACAUCAACAUCUCUCAUCCUCACGCAUUUCGCCAUUUUUCUUAAUUAUGAAAUGUUUUUCUAUCGUAUUAUUUAUCAAAAACAUGUAAUAUCUGCAUACGUAGUCCAUCUUGGCAAAGCAGAAAAACUCUAUAAGGGAAUGGCCUGCUUCGAAUGCCAAUGGGCUUA